rfam:Erinaceus europaeus unplaced genomic scaffold scaffold00612, whole genome shotgun sequence
CUCCAUGAAUCUUUGAGUCCUGUUGACUGUGGCAAAUAUCCUUCCUAGACACAGAAGAGCAUAUUCUUGUAUACUGACAUAGCUGCCAUCAGUUAAUUGAUUUCAGUUCUAACUUUCACAAGUAACAUUU